rnacentral:rRNA from 1 species
GACGUAGGGCGUGAGCGUUGUCCGGAUUUAUUGGGCGUAAAGAGCUCGUAGGCGGCUUGUCGCGUCGACCGUGAAAACUUGGGGCUCAACCCCAAGCCUGCGGUCGAUACGGGCAGGCUCGAGUUCGGUAGGGGAGACUGGAAUUCCUGGUGUAGCGGUGAAAUGCGCAGAUAUCAGGAGGAACACCGGUGGCGAAGGCGGAUCUCUGGGCCUUACCUGACGCUCAGGUGCGAAAGCUAGGGGAGCGAACAGG